rnacentral:rRNA from 1 species
GAUGAACGCUGACAGAAUGCUUAACACAUGCAAGUCUUUGGCGAAGCUGUGCUUGCACAGCCUAGCCAAGGCGGACGGGUGAGUAACGCGUAAGGGACUUGCCCUGCAGUCAGGGAUAACAGACGGAAACGACUGAUAAGACCUGGUAAAGUCAGGCGGACUCAUGUCCAGCCUGAUGAAAAGGAAUGCUGCAGGAGAGCCUUGCGUCCUAUUAGCUUGUUGGUGGGGUAACGGCCCACCAAGGCGAUGAUAGGUAGCCGGCCUGAGAGGGUGGACGGCCACAAGGGGACUGAGAUACGGCCCUUACUCCUACGGGAGGCAGCAGUGGGGAAUAUUGGACAAUGGGGGCAACCCUGAUCCAGCAAUUCUGUGUGCACGAUGGAGGUCUUCGGAUUGUAAAGUGCUUUCAGCAGGGAAGAAAAA